rnacentral:rRNA from 1 species
CACGUAGGGCGCAAGCGUUGUCCGGAAUUAUUGGGCGUAGAGAGCUCGUAGGCGGUCUGUUGCGUCCGCUGUGAAAACUCGGGGCUUAACCCCGAGCCUGCAGUGGAUACGGGCAGACUAGAGGUAGGUAGGGGAGUGUGGAAUUCCCGGUGUAGCGGUGAAAUGUGCAGAUAUCGGGAGGAACACCAGUAGCGAAGGCGGCACUCUGGGCCGGUACUGACGCUGAGGAGCGAAAGCGUGGGGAGCGAACAGG